rnacentral:misc_RNA from 1 species
AGCAGCCGCGGUAAUUCCAGCUCCAAUAGCGUAUAUUAAAGUUGUUGCAGUUAAAAGCUCGUAGUUGAAUUUCGGGAUCAAUUUAUUGGUCGUGCAAUAGUACGUACUGGUAUUAUUGGUUCCUACCUUCUGAUGGACCAUGAUGUCAUUAAUUUGGUGUUAUGGGGAAUCAGGACUGUUACUUUGAAAAAUUAGAGUGUUUAAAGCAGGCUCACGCUUGAAUACAUUAGCAUGGAAUAAUGAAAUAGGACGUUUGAUUCUAUUUUGUUGGUUUCUAGGAUCGACGUAAUGAUUAAUAGGGAUAGUUGGGGGCAUUAGUAUUCAAUUGUCAGAGGUGAAAUUCUUGGAUUUAUGAAGACUAACUACUGCGA